rnacentral:rRNA from 1 species
CUUAAAUUGAAGAGUUUGAUCAUGGCUCAGAUUGAACGCUGGCGGCAGGCCUAACACAUGCAAGUCGAGCGGUAGCACAGAGGAGCUUGCUCCUUGGGUGACGAGCGGCGGACGGGUGAGUAAUGUCUGGGAAACUGCCUGAUGGAGGGGGAUAACUACUGGAAACGGUAGCUAAUACCGCAUAACCUCGCAAGAGCAAAGAGGGGGACCUUAGGGCCUCUCGCCAUCAGAUGUGCCCAGAUGGGAUUAGCUAGUAGGUGAGGUAAUGGCUCACCUAGGCGACGAUCCCUAGCUGGUCUGAGAGGAUGACCAGCCACACUGGAACUGAGACACGGUCCAGACUCCUACGGGAGGCAGCAGUGGGGAAUAUUGCACAAUGGGCGCAAGCCUGAUGCAGCCAUGCCGCGUGUGUGAAGAAGGCCUUCGGGUUGUAAAGCACUUUCAGCGAGGAGGAAGGCGGUAAGGUUAAUAACCUUAUCGAUUGACGUUACUCGCAGAAGAAGCACCGGCUAACUCCGUGCCAGCAGCCGCGGUAAUACGGAGGGUGCAAGCGUUAAUCGGAAUGACUGGGCGUAAAGCGCACGCAGGCGGUCUGUUAAGUUGGAUGUGAAAUCCCCGGGCUUAACCUGGGAACUGCAUUCAAAACUGACAGGCUAGAGUCUUGUAGAGGGGGGUAGAAUUCCAGGUGUAGCGGUGAAAUGCGUAGAGAUCUGGAGGAAUACCGGUGGCGAAGGCGGCCCCCUGGACAAAGACUGACGCUCAGGUGCGAAAGCGUGGGGAGCAAACAGGAUUAGAUACCCUGGUAGUCCACGCUGUAAACGAUGUCGAUUUGGAGGUUGUGCCCUUGAGGCGUGGCUUCCGGAGCUAACGCGUUAAAUCGACCGCCUGGGGAGUACGGCCGCAAGGUUAAAACUCAAAUGAAUUGACGGGGGCCCGCACAAGCGGUGGAGCAUGUGGUUUAAUUCGAUGCAACGCGAAGAACCUUACCUACUCUUGACAUCCAUGGGGAGUACGGCCGCAAGGUUAAAACUCAAAUGAAUUGACGGGGGCCCGCACAAGCGGUGGAGCAUGUGGUUUAAUUCGAUGCAACGCGAAGAACCUUACCUACUCUUGACAUCCACAGAAUUUGGUAGAGAUACCUUAGUGCCUUCGGGAACUGUGAGACAGGUGCUGCAUGGCUGUCGUCAGCUCGUGUUGUGAAAUGUUGGGUUAAGUCCCGCAACGAGCGCAACCCUUAUCCUUUGUUGCCAGCGAUUCGGUCGGGUUGAGACAGGUGCUGCAUGGCUGUCGUCAGCUCGUGUUGUGAAAUGUUGGGUUAAGUCCCGCAACGAGCGCAACCCUUAUCCUUUGUUGCCAGCGAUUCGGUCGGGAACUCAAAGGAGACUGCCGGUGAUAAACCGGAGGAAGGUGGGGAUGACGUCAAGUCAUCAUGGCCCUUACGAGUAGGGCUACACACGUGCUACAAUGGCGUAUACAAAGAGAAGCGACCUCGCGAGAGCAAGCGGACCUCAUAAAGUACGUCGUAGUCCGGAUUGGAGUCUGCAACUCGACUCCAUGAAGUCGGAAUCGCUAGUAAUCGUAGAUCAGAAUGCUACGGUGAAUACGUUCCCGGGCCUUGUACACACCGCCCGUCACACCAUGGGAGUGGGUUGCAAAAGAAGUAGGUAGCUUAACCUUCGGGAGGGCGCUUACCACUUUGUGAUUCAUGACUGGGGUGAAGUCGUAACAAGGUAACCGUAGGGGAACCUGCGGUUGGAUCACCUCCUUACCAAGAAG